ACGUAGGUCCCAAGCGUUAUCCGGAAUUACUGGGUGUAAAGCGUCUGUAGGCGGGUUUGUAAGUUUCGCAUGAAAGAACAGGGCUCAACCCUGUGUUGGUGCGAAAAACUGCUAACCUAGAAUUAGGGAGAGGUAAACGGAAUGGUAAGAGUAGAGGUGCAAUUCGUAGAUACUUACCAGAACACCAAAAGCGAAGGCAGUUUACUGGAACUAUAUUGACGCUGAGAGACGAAAGCGUGGGGAGCGAAAAG
rnacentral:rRNA from 1 species